rnacentral:rRNA from 1 species
UACAGAGGGUGCAAGCGUUAAUCGGAAUUACUGGGCGUAAAGGGCGCGUAGGCGGUUUGAUAAGUUAGAGGUGAAAUCCCCGGGCUUAACCUGGGAACUGCCUUUAAGACUGUUAGACUAGAGUAGAGUAGAGGGGAGUGGAAUUUCCGGUGUAGCGGUGAAAUGCGUAGAUAUCGGAAAGAACACCAGUGGCGAAGGCGGCUCCCUGGGCUCAUACUGACGUUGAGGCGCGAAAGCGUGGGUAGCAAACAGG